rnacentral:rRNA from 1 species
UACGAACCGUACGAACGUUAUUCGGAAUUACUGGGCUUAAAGGGUGCGUAGGCUGCGCAGCAAGUUGGGUGUGAAAUCCCUCGGCUUAACCGAGGAACUGCGCCCAAAACUGCUGUGCUCGAGGGAGACAGAGGUGAGCGGAACUUAGGGUGGAGCGGUGAAAUGCGUUGAUAUCCUAAGGAACACCGGUGGCGAAAGCGGCUCACUGGGUCUCUUCUGACGCUGAGGCACGAAAGCUAGGGGAGCGAACGGG